rnacentral:ncRNA from 1 species
CAAAGGUUUGGUCCUGACUUUUCUAUCAGCUUUAGCUAAGCUUACACAUGCAAGUAUCCGCCCCCCCGUGAGAAUGCCCUACAGUCCCCCUACCCGGGGGCAAGGAGCUGGUAUCAGGCACAAUCCUACAAAUACUGCCCACGACACCUUGCUUAGCCACACCCCCAAGGGAUGCCAGCAGUGAUAAACAUUAAGCCAUGAGUGAAAACUUGACUUAGCCACAGCUACUAGGGCCGGUAAAACUCGUGCCAGCCACCGCGGUUAUACGAGAGGCCCAAGUUGAUAGACACCGGCGCAAAGAGUGGUUAGGUAACUUAAUAAACUAAAGCCGAACGCCCCCAAGGCUGUUAUACGUGCUCGGAGGUAUGAAGCCCAACUACGAAAGUGGCUUUAACUAUGUCUGAACCCACGAAAGCUGUGAAACAAACUGGGAUUAGAUACCCCACUAUGCUCAGCCCUAAACUUUGAUAGUUCAACCACGCCCACUAUCCGCCUGGGUACUACGAGCUUUAGCUUAAAACCCAAAGGACUUGGCGGUGCUUAAGAUCCGUCUAGAGGAGCCUGUUCUAGAACCGAUACCCCACGUUUGACCUCACCCUCUCUUGUUCAGACCGCCUAUAUACCGCCGCCGUCAGCCCACCCUGCAAAGGUCUAGUAGUAGGCUUAAUUGGUAUGACCCAAAAUGCCAGGUCGAGGUGUAGCGUAUGAGAGGGGAAGCAAUGGGCUACAUUUCCUAACCAGGAAACACGGAUGAUGAACUGAAACAAGCAUUCUGAAGGAGGAUUUAGCAGUAAAUGAAAGUCAGAAUAUUUCAUUGAAACCUCGGCUCUAAAGCACGCACACACCGCCCGUCACUCUCCCCGAAAUACAACCUUCCACAUACAUAAACUCCUUACAUAAGAUAAGGGGAGAAAAGUCGUAACAUGGUAAGUGUACCGGAAGGUGCACUUGGAACCCAACU